rnacentral:tRNA from 1 species
CGGGGUGUAGCGCAGUUGGUCAGCGCGCCUGCUUUGGGAGCAGGAAGCCGCCGGUUCGAGUCCGGCCACCCCGACCA